AGGUUGCCUUUGAUACAAGGCCCAUCAUUUGUUUUCCUUGCUCCAGCAUUAGCAAUAAUCAAUUCCUCUGAGUUCCAAGGAUUAAAUGGAAAUAGUUUCAAACAUAUUAUGAAGAAGCUACAGGGGGCUAUAAUUAUUGCUUCAACUUUCCAAGCAUUGCUUGGAUAUAGUGGUUUGAUGUCAGUAGUUUCGAGGUUGAUAAAUCCAGUGGUUGUUGCCCCAACUAUUGCUGCUGUUGGACUUUCAUUUUAUAGUUAUGGUUUUCCAAUGGUUGGAACCUGUCUUGAGAUUGGUGUAGUCCAGAUAUUGCUGGUUAUUAUUUUUUCUCUUUAUCUUCGGAAGAUAUCUGUUUUUGGUCAUCGCGUUUUUCUCAUUUAUGCGGUUCCACUGGGGCUAGCAAUCACAUGGGCAGCUGCUUUCCUUCUGACUGAAGCAGGAGCCUAUAGUUACAAAGGUUGUGAUCCGAAUAUUCCAGCAUCAAAUAUUAUAUCUGACCACUGCAGAAA
rnacentral:misc_RNA from 1 species